GGCGGGAGGUCGCGCGGAUCUUCAGAGAUUAGAGUUUGAUCAUGGCUCAGAUUGAACGCUGGCGGCAUGCUUUACACAUGCAAGUCGAACGGUAACAGGGACUUCGGUCUGCUGACGAGUGGCGAACGGGUGAGUAACAUAUCGGAACGUGCCCAGUAAUGGGGGAUAGCUCGGCGAAAGCCGGAUUAAUACCGCAUACGCCCUGAGGGGGAAAGUGGGGGAUCUUCGGACCUCACGUUAUUGGAGCGGCCGAUAUCGGAUUAGCUAGUUGGUGGGGUAAAGGCCUACCAAGGCGACGAUCCGUAGCUGGUCUGAGAGGAUGAUCAGCCACACUGGGACUGAGACACGGCCCAGACUCCUACGGGAGGCAGCAGUGGGGAAUUUUGGACAAUGGGCGAAAGCCUGAUCCAGCCAUGCCGCGUGAGUGAAGAAGGCCUUCGGGUUGUAAAGCUCUUUCAGGUGGAAAGAAAGCGGAUGGGCUAAUACCCUGUUCGGAUGACGGUACCACCAGAAGAAGCACCGGCUAACUACGUGCCAGCAGCCGCGGUAAUACGUAGGGUGCGAGCGUUAAUCGGAAUUACUGGGCGUAAAGCGUGCGCAGGCGGUUGUGUAAGACAGGUGUGAAAUCCCCGGGCUUAACCUGGGAACUGCGCUUGUGACUGCACAGCUAGAGUACGGCAGAGGGGGGUAGAAUUCCACGUGUAGCAGUGAAAUGCGUAGAGAUGUGGAGGAACACCGAUGGCGAAGGCAGCCCCCUGGGCCAAUACUGACGCUCAUGCACGAAAGCGUGGGUAGCAAACAGGAUUAGAUACCCUGGUAGUCCACGCCCUAAACGAUGUCAACUAGGUGUUGGGAGGGUAAAACCUUUUAGUACCGGAGCUAACGCGUGAAGUUGACCGCCUGGGGAGUACGGCCGCAAGGUUAAAACUCAAAGGAAUUGACGGGGACCCGCACAAGCGGUGGAUGAUGUGGAUUAAUUCGAUGCAACGCGAAAAACCUUACCUACCCUUGACAUGUCCGGAAGCCCUUAGAGAUUUGGGUGUGCUCGAAAGAGAGCGG
rnacentral:rRNA from 1 species